UACGUAGGGGGCAAGCGUUGUCCGGAUUUAUUGGGCGUAAAGAGCGUGUAGGCGGCCAGACAGGUCCGUUGUGAAAACUUGAGGCUCAACCUCGAGACGCCGAUGGAAACCGUCUGGCUAGAGUCCGGAAGAGGAGAGUGGAAUUCCUGGUGUAGCGGUGAAAUGCGCAGAUAUCGGGAGGAACACCAAUGGCGAAGGCAGCUCGCUGGGACGUUACUGACGCUGAGACGCGAAAGCGUGGGGAGCAAACAGG
rnacentral:rRNA from 1 species